GUUAAUGUAGCUUAAAAUAAAGCAAAGCACUGAAAAUGCUUAGACGAGUACUCAAAUACUCCAUAAACA
rnacentral:tRNA from 1 species